rnacentral:lncRNA from 12 species
UUACCACUCACUGAUUAAUGUCUAGAAGAUUUCAGCACCAUUUACAGUAUGCAGUACAUACUAGCACAACAAUCUACAAGGCAGAAAUUUUGCUAUUUUCUUUCUUAGCAUAUUUUCUUACUCAGAUCUGUGGGUUGAAUAUGACUCUAAAUGAUGUUGUAGCACAUAGAAGCCAGCGAGGUAAGUCUCUAUGAGCUGUUGGUGGUACAAACAGAGAAGUCACUCUCUGCACCACAAAGACUGUGAGAUACAUGUAUGCCUGGAGGAGGGGAAGCAAAGGGGAUCGUGGUGCUGGUCCGAAUGCUUAUGCUGCAAAGCAGCUCAGCUUCAGCAGCAGUGAUGGGAAGGGAAGUGUCCACAGAAGAAGCAAAAUGAGAAGAAUUUCAGAGAAUAAACAGAGAAGUGCAACAAGGACAGAGAUUUACAGAAAGAGCAUUUUUUGCAAGUACUCCACAGGACCAAUUUUACAGAGACCGUGAGAGGUUAUGGCAUGUGAAGUGGGAUGAUGAUCAAGGGAGCUGCUAGAGACUACAGAGACACAGAAAAUGAUGCUCACUUGCUUUUUCUGAACCUUUUAAAAAUUACUGCUUCCAAAUGUGUCUCCCCAUUUAAUUAUUUUUAAUUUACUGAAGCAUAUGUUUGUGGUUUAGUAACUUUUG